rnacentral:rRNA from 1 species
UUGUAUAUUUGUAUAAUGAAAUCUGGAAUGAAAGGAUUAAUGAAAUAUGUACUGUCUCAUUUAUAUAAUAUGAAUUUAAAAUUUUAAUAAAAAUGUUAAAAUUUUUUUAUGGGACGAUAAGACCCUAUAGAAUUUUAUAUUAACUUUACCUAGCGGUUAAUGCUGGUUUUUUGUUAAUAUUUGGUUGGGAGGAUUAUUAAAUUUAACAAACUUUAUAUCAUUAUAAACUUUGAUUUAAGAAAAUAUAAUGAUCUUCAAUUUGAAAUAGUUAGAGUAAAUUACCUUAGGGAUAACAGCGUAAUAUUUUUUUAUAGACCUUAUAGAAAAAAAUGAUUGCGAC